CGAAAACCGAAAAAAAUAGACACAUCUCAUUCUCUCUCGAUACCACAUAAACACAAAGAACCCUAAUCUCUCAUCCUCUCUCGAAAAUCUCACAACCUCUCUCAAAUCUCACUCUUUCGAACCCUAAUCGCCCAAUUCCAAAAACGCCUUAUCUCUCUUUUGAGACCGAAAGAACCCUAAUCUCUCAUCUCUCUCCCGAAACGAUGGCAUCAAGAAAGAAGCAGAAACAUACAAAAACAAUUCUAGGACGACAGCUCCUCCUGUCCCCAAUCGCCAAUCUCCACCAGGCGUGAGUGACUACCCACCUCCCAGGCAGCUCUUUCAAGACUCACAGGUCCAAACUCAAGCUGCUUCAGCUACUCUUCAUCAACCAUCUCCACCGCAACAACCUCGACGGUCUGAAACUUCACCGACGCAAAAUUCUCCGAGCAGUUCUCAGGCUCAAGACUCUGCGACUACAGAACGUCCAGAAGCUGUGGAUCCAACUCUCUCUGAUGAGCAGUUGCGUGUAGUCAACGAACUGCUAUCCCAGCCAAACCGGGGCCUUGACAUACCGAUCCUCUCUCCAACAUUUGAGCCUGCAACAACAUGGUUUCGCAUAGAUGAUUGCAUCUGAAACGAUGUAGUUGGAGUAGCACAGGCAUUAACUGAGGUAGUGCGUAAGACCCACAUUAUAAAAAUGGGACCUGCAUUGACAAAAGAGCAGAAGCUUAUGUGAAGGCAGCUGAAUCUCUUGUCUUGGAGCGUCACAAAGUUUCACUUGACCUGUGAAACUGCAUCGGCACCCUCUAACCAGCAGCUCACUGUUGCUUAUAUUGAAAUUGUAACAAAUGUUGAUGCUGAACCCAAGGAGUCUCCGGCAGCUUCUCUAUGUAGAAACGUUGGAGUUGAUGGACGAUUGACCACCGUGCAGAGUGUUGUGACUGGGUAGAAGGAUGACGUUUCUAGGUUGAAGUAAAGCAUCGACUUGUUGUUGAAGAUGAAUGGAGUGGAUCCUAUUACUCGUCAACAUAUUCCACGUUAGAGUGGUGCAUCUGCUCCAAGUCCCCAUUCUGAUUCUAGCCAAGAACUUAAUCAGCACUCUCCCACUCAUUAACUCUUCAAUCUAUUCUAGGUGUAUUGCGUUUCCUUGUGCAAUAUUAAUCUCUAACAUCCGUAGAUGUCUUUUGUAAAAUCAUUAGAUGUUUUCUUUAACUUAAAAUUGUAAUGAUAUUUUGAAUG